rnacentral:tRNA from 1 species
GGCAGCGUGCCUGAAUAACCAAAGGAUCACUAUGAUAAAGUGAACAUAGAGGUAUAACAGUCCUCUCGCUUCCU